UUUGUCUGAACUAGCCAGAAAAUUAAGGCCACCAUGUUUCUGCUUCAUUCCUCAGCUCCUGUAGGCACGUUUCUGUUGUGGGUAGAAAAGGGAGUUAACCCUACUGUGGACAGAGACGGCCCAUAAGAUUGUUAUCACGCCAGCUCCGACACCAAGACAUCUACAACUUCAGGAAAGGAGCCGACGAGCAGCAACUGCGAAGCCACACUUGCCAGGGCCUGGGGACACCAAGGCCACAAACUGUGAGCAUUCCAUACAAGAUGAGAACCAGUCUUCCUGCACUGGGAAAGAUGACCUUGAACCUGGCUACGGUCUCGAACCAUUCAGGUUUACUCUCCCCGCCACACAAGCCCAGAAACAUGCCUGCAGAUGCACUGGGACAAGACUAUACAACAAGAGGCCCUAACCCAAACCACAAGGCAGGCUCCGUGCUCCCAGCUUCUGCGCCUGCCAACUCUGCCCAAUCCCUAAAUACAGAGGCCACCAUUACUCUGCUCCAGAGGCGUGUGUCUGAUCCUCUGUCCUAUUCCACACUCAAUGUGCUCAUGGCUCUGAGGGACACUGCCAGUUUUGGAGGUCCCUGGCCCAGCCUCACUGUAUCUUCUCUGUCGUGGGAGCAGCAAUGCCCGGGGUGUUGGUGGUAG